rnacentral:rRNA from 1 species
UACAGAGGGGGCAAGCGUUGUUCGGAAUUACUGGGCGUAAAGCGUGCGCAGGCGGUUUUGUAAGACCGAUGUGAAAUCCCCGGGCUUAACCUGGGAACUGCAUUGGUGACUGCAAGGCUUGAGUGUGUCAGAGGGAGGUGGAAUUCCGCGUGUAGCAGUGAAAUGCGUAGAUAUGCGGAGGAACACCGAUGGCGAAGGCAGCCUCCUGGGAUAACACUGACGCUCAUGCACGAAAGCGUGGGGAGCAAACAGG